GCACCAGACUUGCCCUCCAAUGGGUACUCAAUAAGAGGUUUAAAAUGUUUUCAUUCCAUUGACAGACUUAAAAAGCCUGACAUUGUUAUUUAUUGUCACUACCUCCAAGUGU
rnacentral:rRNA from 1 species